UUGCUAAAUAGAAAACUUUUAAUGAAGGGGUACCCAGUUUAGAGAUAAAAAUAUAAUAUGCCAUCUCCAGAAAGAACAAUUCAAAGUAUAAAUAAUCAGAAUUACAUGAACUUGCAAUUUGUCAUAUUUGGUUCUAACUAGUUUAAUUAAUUAAACUAAUUCCUAUACUUUGCCGUCACUCUGGUUAAGGUUUGGCCAGUUUUGCAUAUACUUGCAUGGCAAAAUGCAUGACAAUAGAUAUUUAAGUAUUUUUCUCAUUUUUUUUUUAAAUAUGGGGUUGGAAAAUACUAACAUUUUAAUUUAUACUGUUUUUCCCUUCUGCUCACUGAAAAGAAUUAAUGAAAAUCAUUCAGGAAUAUAUUCCACAGAAAAGGUUUGCAAAAACUUGAGAUAUAUUUUAGUAGAAUUUGAGUUUGUCCACAUUCUUUGGCUGUUCAAUUUAGUGUGUAACAUAUUUGAAUAUUCAAUUAUUAUAGUUAAUAUAUUUUUUCUUUUAUAUGAGAAUUUUAAUGACAGAACUCUACUGAUAAUCCUUCUCAUAGGACAGUGGCAUACUAUCACAUCUAUCAAAGAAAAUGUGAAAAGUGCCUGAAAUGUGCUACUGAUCAACCAAUAGCAGUGAAAACUCACAUAUGGUACACAUUCCAUUUGGAUCACAAAAGCAAAGCCAAACAUCUCGGUAAGUGGGAGGAAGUAACUGAUGAACUGACUAAAGGAAAAACAGAGACUCUGGGCUUGGUCAUGUGACUUACUUCAGUCAAUGGGACAUUAGCAAGAAUAAUAAAGCAGGAGUUUGAUAAGAAUUUGUACAUUUUGGCUUAUCAUCUUAAAAUAUUCUUGGAAGCCAGAUGCAAUAAGAAGUCCAGCCACCCUAAGACCACUAUAUGUGAGGAAACCCAAGCUAGUCAUGUGGAAAAAACAUGUAAACAGAGGGAUGCCUGGCUAGUCUCCAGCUUAGUCAUGGGAGUGAAGAAGCCACUUUGGAUGUUCCAGCCUUGGAAGAUACUUCCUGGAACCGAAGAAACACCUUGCUGAGCCCAGCACAGACUGCAGAAUCAUGAGAAAUAAUAGUUGGUUUAAGCCACUACAUUUUGGAGUGGUUUGUUAUAUAACUAAAACAAGCAAUGAUAGAAAAGUCUAGCAAACCAAUUAGUUAUUUGUAAGAAGUAAAAAUGUUAUAGAAACCUAAUAUUUAUACUCUUUGAACUGUUACAUGUGCUCCAUUCUGAUUUUAUACAACUUUAAAUGCUUAAUUCUCAAAUUACCUUACUCUUAGGGUCCUCUUCAUAUGUUUUUGUUUUAGGUUGCAAUGGAGGUGAAAUAGUGGCUUGUAUUUGAGGAGACUGAAAUUUAGGCCUACUUUUAGGUUGCUGCUCUUCAAAUUCCUGACUGAAUCCUUCAGGAAGUGCAUCUUAAAAUAAAAGAAACUAUGCUGAAAAUAAACAGGCAUAUGAUACAUAAAACACACAAAUAUUUGUUAAGCAUUUGUAAACCUUGCCUAGACUUAGAGCACCUAAUUUUCUUCUAUUCCCUCAUCUCCUAAGAAUAGAAAUCUUAAGAUGAACCUGGUUUUAUCCGUCAACCUAGAAGUGAACGUACUCAUCAGAUGAUAGCUAGCCCUCUUGUAUUUGGCCAUUAUUUCACCCUCAAUGUUAGGCUCCUAAAUUGUCAUAAGAUCUUAAUCCUUCCCACUCUUUGGCUUUCUGUCACAGCAUGUGGUAGUAUCCUUAGUCACCACAAGCCAUUUGCACUCCAGAUUCUUGCCAAAGAUUACAAUCAUGAUCCUCUGCUUAAUAAAAUACUAUAUAUUCAAGGACAGUCCUAAUUUCUAAAUGAAAAGCCAGGAGACAUAGCUUACUGAGAGGCAAACCUUGUAUUAAGGACAUAGCAAAAUAACAAUCAACAACUGAACACAAAACAUAAUAUUUUCUUGCAUAGGCCACAAUCUCUAAGGAAAAUAUCCUGAAAAGAACAGAAGGUAAGAACACUUUAAAAGUAAAUAAUUAUGACAGUGAAAAAAUAUGAGUAUGAGCCAAAAGGUUGAUACAAAUACCAAAACUACUUCAAAAGGUUUAGAAACUGAAAGAAUUUAAUGAUAUUGUUUACCAUCUGAAAGGUUUAAACAGAGCCAAUCCAAGGCAGAAUGAAGGUCACCUCCAUAUAAGAGUGUAUUGGUCAUGGCAUCUUCAAUGUCCUUUGUCUUAAAUGAAAAUGCUUGUAAAGCCAUGUAUAAAUCCUAUGACAAGCA
rnacentral:lncRNA from 1 species